UAACUGGUGGAAGUCCAGUCAUGGUAAGAGUCAGAGCCAUGUAGCUUGGAUGGCAGGGGGUGAUGGAAACGUUAUCUUCUGAAGCCCAUCGACAAAGUCAGCGUAAGGCUGGUGAGCGAAUAUCCGGGUUGUAACUGAC
rfam:Nitrospirae bacterium CG2_30_41_42 cg2_3.0_scaffold_376_c, whole genome shotgun sequence.